rnacentral:rRNA from 1 species
GAUGAACGCUGGUGGCGUGCCUAAUACAUGCAAGUCGAGCGAACGGACGAGAAGCUUGCUUCUCUGAUGUUAGCGGCGGACGGGUGAGUAACACGUGGAUAACCUACCUAUAAGACUGGGAUAACUUCGGGAAACCGGAGCUAAUACCGGAUGAUAUUUUGAACCGCAUGGUUCAAAAGUGAAAGACGGUCUUGCUGUCACUUAUAGAUGGAUCCGCGCUGCAUUAGCUAGUUGGUAAGGUAACGGCUUACCAAGGCAACGAUGCAUAGCCGACCUGAGAGGGUGAUCGGCCACACUGGAACUGAGACACGGUCCAGACUCCUACGGGAGGCAGCAGUAGGGAAUCUUCCGCAAUGGGCGAAAGCCUGACGGAGCAACGCCGCGUGAGUGAUGAAGGUCUUCGGAUCGUAAAACUCUGUUAUUAGGGAAGAACAUAUGUGUAAGUAACUGUGCACAUCUUGACGGUACCUAAUCAGAAAGCCACGGCUAACUACGUG